rnacentral:rRNA from 1 species
GACGAACGCUGGCGGCGUGCCUAAUACAUGCAAGUCGACCGCUACUUUUCCCACCGGAGCUUGCUCCACCGGGAAAAGAGGAGUGGCGAACGGGUGAGUAACACGUGGGUAACCUGCCCAUCAGAAGGGGAUAACACUUGGAAACAGGUGCUAAUACCGUAUAACAAGCGAAACCGCAUGGUUUCGUUUUGACAGGCGCUUUACGGUGCCGCUGAUGGAUGGACCAGCGGGGCAUUAGCUAGUUGGUGAGGGAACGGCUCACCAAGGCCACGACGCGUAGCCGACCUGAGAGGGUGAUCGGCCACACUGGGACUGAGACACGGCCCAGACUCCUACGGGAGGCAGCAGUAGGGAAUCUUCGGCAAUGGGCGAAAGCCUGACCGAGCAACGCCGCGUGAGUGAUGAAGGCUUUCGGGUCGUAAAACUCUGUUGCCAGAGAAGAACGUCGGGUAGAGUAACUGCUGCCCGAGUGACGGUAUCUGAGAAGAAAGCCCCGGCUAACUACGUGCCAGCAGCCGCCGCCG